UGUUAAAAUUUCAUCAUUUUGUACUGUUAAAAACUAGCGUGGCUGACAGAAUAAUCAAGUAGUGUGCCACGUAUACCUCAUGUUGAUGUACAUAGAUCAAUUUUUAACAAUAGAAAUGAAAGGAAUUUUUAUA
rfam:Gossypium raimondii Chr13_contig_1325, whole genome shotgun sequence.